GCCGGUGUAGCUCAGUUGGUAGAGCAGCGCAUUCGUAAUGCGAAGGUCGGGUGUUCGAUUCAUCUCACCGGCACCA
rnacentral:tRNA from 2 species